UUUUCUCUCUCUCUCAUCGAGAUGGUGGCCGGCGGGAGGGGGUCGCCGCCGGCGGCGGCGGAGGCGGUGGAGGAGCUCACGAGGCUGUACAGGGAGCUCCCGCCGCGGCCCACCGUCGAGGAGGUGGAGGCGGCGGCGGCGGUGCUGGCCUCGGCCGACGCGGAGGAGGCGGCGCGGCUCGAGGAGGUGGCACGGGAGGAGGCGGCGGGGAGGGUCGAGGGGGUGUCCGGGGAGCUCCUCGCCGUGCUCCGGGAGGCCAGGCGCAACGCCGUGCGCCUCCGCGCGCUGCAGCAGCGGAAGGAGGCCGCGCACGUGGUCGAGCUCGAGAGGCGCUUCAAGGUGUUCGACGAUUUGAUCCAGAGGGCGUCGCGGGUGGUCUCGUCCUUCUCUGGUGACGCGGGAGGGGGAUCUCCCGGCGAUGGGGGCGCUGGUGUGGACAGCGUGGACCUGGAGAUGGAGGUGAGGAAGAAGGAGGCGGCGGUCGUGGCCGCGGCCGCGGCGGCGGAGAUGGAGCGCGGAAGCAAGGGUCUCGCUGCCUUAGGCUUGGAGUCCAAGCCCAUCUCGUCGCUGCGUCGUGAUCUCUCUGGAGUUAGUGACAUGGAAAAAUUGAGCCUCAUCCAAGUAGCAAGCCUCAUCGAGUCAUCAGCAAAGAAAGGAACCACAGAGCUCAAUCUCCGAGGGAAGUUGGUCGACCAGAUUGAGUGGCUCCCUGUUUCACUUGGGAAGUUACAAGAUGUUACUGAGCUUGAUCUAUCAGAGAAUAGGAUCAUGGCACUCCCAUCAACAAUUGGCAGCCUUAGAUAUUUGACAAAGCUUGACCUCCACUCAAAUCAACUGAUCAAUCUGCCUGACACAUUUGGGGAACUCUCCAACCUGAUUGAUCUUGACCUGCAUGCCAACCAGCUUAAGUCCCUUCCUUCCUCAUUUGGAAACCUCAUGAGCCUGGCAAAUCUUGACCUGAGCUCAAAUAUGUUGAAGGCACUUCCAGAUUGUUUGGGAAAAUUGACAAACUUGAGAAGAUUAAUUGUUGAGACAAAUGAGCUCGAGGAGCUACCCUAUACUAUUGGAUCUUGCACCUCUCUUGUGGAGCUUAGGUUGGAUUUCAAUCAGUUAAAAGCCCUUCCUGAGGCUAUCGGGAAGUUGGAGAAGCUGGAAAUUCUCACAUUGCACUAUAACAGAAUCAAAGGAUUGCCUACAACAGUGGGCUCACUUUCCAGAUUGAGAGAGCUGGAUGUCAGUUUCAAUGAAGUUGAAGUGAUUCCUGAGAACAUUUGCCUUGCAACCAGUCUUGUGAAGUUGAAUCUUAGCAGAAAUUUCGCGGACUUAAGAGCAUUGCCGAGAUCAAUAGGAAAUCUUGAGAUGCUAGAGGAGCUGGACAUAAGCAGUAACCAGAUUCGGGUACUGCCAGAUUCAUUUAGGUGUCUUUCAAGGCUACGUGUAUUUCAUGCUGAUGAGACCCCACUGGAUUUACCACCAAGAGAUGUUGUAAAGCUAGGGGCUCAGGCUGUGGUCCAGUAUAUGAUUGAUAUGAAUGCUGCAAGAGGAAGAGGAACCAACCAGAAGAAAACAGAUAGAAGAAGCUUCUGGGCCUGGCUCUUCUCACUGUUUGGUUGUUGCAAAAAGGACCAAGAGCUGGGACUGGUUCCAGUAUAAAUGAAGCAUUUCAUCUGAAGUGUCGAGAUAGAAGGAAAGUGAAACUGUUCGGAAAGCAAGAAACCAGCUGCGCAAAUGAGUCCCUAAAGUGGCUGAAGAUCAAUAAGGCUGAACAAUGAACUUGUGCCAUCACAGGGUUGGAUCUCCAGAAGAGCACAAGGAAGCAUCAAGCCAAGAGAGAAACGGUCUGAAAUUGCCGAAAUAAUCGGUAGGAUGUACACCAGGAAAAGUCAGUUUACGCAGACGGAUUGCAGUUUCCCUUAUCGACGGAAAUGGGCCUCGCGAGACUACAAUGGGACGCAUGUGAAGCCCGAUAUCAUCACUCGGCAACGGAACUGGCCCAAACUCGUACCUUGCCGUUAAUGGGUCAGUUUAUCUUAGCAUUAACAUUAACAAAUAUUGCGGCCAUUUCACUAGUUCACUUGGGCCGUAAAAUUCUAUAUUGGGCCUAAAGUUUCUAAUUUAAGCCGUAAGCCCAAAUUUUCUAGUUUGGGCCUUCGUGAGUACUGAGCUGUAGUGUUUUGGCCUUAAACUGUGAAGUAUGCCGUAAGUAGGCCUGAUAUUUGUGUUUUAGUCGUUACUCGUUAGUGGGUCUAUUUCGAUAAUGGACCUUAAAGUUCCUACUCCGGGUCCAAUUUGCUGAGUUUUGGGCGUUUUCGCACUAAAAUAAGCAUGUGCUGUAUAAGAGGAUCUGAUUUUUUUUCAAGAUUGAGCCGUUGUCGAAUUUAUACUUGGGCUGUUAGUGGGCUAAAUUUAAGGUAAGCAGGCCAUAAUGCCUCAU